GCAGUUUCUUUUAAAACUAAAAAUGAUCACUUAGCCUUAUCAGUUUAACACCGGAUACGGCCUCCAUCCAAGGACAGCAUAUCAAGUGGAUUUUUGGAGGAGAGAAAUGGCCUAGGAGCUCGCUCCAUCCACACCUCGCAUCCACCUGGUAUUGUAGUACUUCUGGGAAGUGGUGCACCCAUU
rfam:Myotis davidii contig226816, whole genome shotgun sequence.